rnacentral:rRNA from 1 species
GUCCGGCUAACUUCGUGCCAGCAGCCGCGGUAAUACGAAGGGACCUAGCGUAGUUCGGAAUUACUGGGCUUAAAGAGUUCGUAGGUGGUUGAAAAAGUUGGUGGUGAAAUCCCAGAGCUUAACUCUGGAACUGCCAUCAAAACUUUUCAGCUAGAGUAUGAUAGAGGAAAGCAGAAUUUCUAGUGUAGAGGUGAAAUUCGUAGAUAUUAGAAAGAAUACCAAUUGCGAAGGCAGCUUUCUGGAUCAUUACUGACACUGAGGAACGAAAGCAUGGGUAGCGAAGAGGAUUAGAUACCCUCGUAGUCCAUGCCGUAAACGAUGUGUGUUAGACGUUGGAAAUUCAUUUUCAGUGUCGCAGCGAAAGCGAUAAACACACCGCCUGGGGAGUACGACCGCAAGGUUAAAACUCAAAUGAAUUGACGGGGACCCGCACAAGUAGUGGAGCAUGUGGUUUAAUUCGAAGAUACGCGCAGAACCUUACCAACACUUGACAUGUUCGUCGCGACUUUAAGAGAUUAAAGUUUUCGGUUCGGCCGGACGAAACACAGGUGCUGCAUGGCUGUCGUCAGCUCGUGUCGUGAGAUGUUGGGUUAAGUCCCGCAACGAGCGCAACCCUCACUUUUAGUUGCCAUCAUUAAGUUGGGCACUCUGAAAGAACUGCCAGUGAUAAGCUGGAGGAAGGUGGGGAUGACGUCAAGUCCUCAUGGCCCUUACGUGUUGGGCUACACACGUGCUACAAUGGUAUCUACAACAGGAAGCAAAACCGCGAGGUUAAGCAAAUCCUCAAAAGAUACCUCAGUUCGGAUUGCACUCUGCAACUCGAGUGCAUGAAGCUGGAAUUACUAGUAAUCGUGGAUCAGCGUGCCACGGUGAAUGCGUUCCCGGGUCUUGUACACACCGCCCGUCACACCAUGGGAGUUGGUUCUACCUUAAGGCAAGGUUUAAAAUCCUUGACCACGGUAUAGUCAGCGACUGGGGUGAAGUCGUAACAAGGUAGCCGUAGGGGAACCUGCGGCUG